rnacentral:rRNA from 1 species
GUUGAACGCUGGCGGCAGGCCUAACACAUGCAAGUCGAACGGAUGAACCCAGCUUGCUUCUGGAUUCAGCGGGGGACGGGGGUGUAAUGCCUAGGAAUCUCCUGGGCUGGGGUGGAGAACGUCCUGAAGCGAGCGCUAAUACCGCAUACGUCCUGAGGGAGAAAGAGGGGGGGGUUCGGAACGCACGCUCGCAGAUGAGUCUAGGCGGGAGUAGCUAGUUGGUGGGGUAAAGGGCUACCAAGCCGACGAUUCGUAACUGGUCGGUGAGGAUGAUCAGUCACCUGGGAACUGAGCCACGGACCAUAGUCCUACGGGACGCAGCAGUGGGGAAUAUGGGACAGUGGGCGAAAGCCUGAUCCAACCAUGGCGAGCGUGAUAAGAAGGUCUUCGGAUUGUAAAGCAGGUUAAGUGGGGAUGAACGGCAGUAGGCUAAUACCUAGCUGUUUUGACGUUAAUAACAGAAUAAGCACCGGCUAACUUCGUG